UUUUUUAAAAGACGGCAUACGAGAUGGCGCGGCGUGACGAGAGCACAGACGUGUGCUGACCCCUGCGAUUUCCACAAAUGCGGGAAACUCGACUGCAGAAUUUGUGGUAGUGGGGGAUUGCCUUCGUACUUUCCGCGU
rnacentral:snRNA from 1 species